rnacentral:rRNA from 1 species
UUCACGGAGAGUUUGAUCCUGGCUCAGGACGAACGCUGGCGGCGUGCAUCACACAUGCAAGUGGAGCGACGAACCGGGCUUCGGCCCGGGGCAAAGCCGCGAACGGGUGAGUAACACGUGGGUAACCUGCCCCGAUGAUUGGGACAACCCGAGGAAACUCGGGCUAAUACCAAAUGU